rnacentral:rRNA from 1 species
GACAUAGGUGGCAAACGUUAUCCGGAAUUAUUGGGCGUAAAGAGUGCGUAGGUGGUUUAAUAAGUUAGUAGUGGUAAAUUGAGGCUCAACCUCAUGGAAAUUACUAAUACUAUUAACUAGAGGAUCGGAGGGGUUAACGGAAUUCUAUGUGUAGCGGUAAAAUGCUCAAAUAUAUAGAGGAACACCAAUUGGCGAAGGCAGUUAACUAUUCGAUUCCUGACGUUGAGG